rnacentral:misc_RNA from 1 species
GGCAAAUUCAAAUGGUGCAGUAAAAAAGGAUUUGGUAGAUAAAUUGGAAUAGCAAGAUAAUUGAGUAGGGCAUCCUGAACCUCUAAUUUUGACAUAGUAACCAUCUAAUGUGAUCUUACUAUCUUAGCCAGCACUUAAGAGGAAAUCUCUCUCUCCAGCCUCCAUUUAUUGUUAUCAUUUUUCUCGGCUGACGUCAGAAAUUCACAUCAGAAUACUUUGUAUAGUUCAGAGAUCAAAUUGUAACACAACAAUUAAAAGAUGGGAUAAUUAAGAAUUAGGUCAAAAAGCAGGCCUAAAAGGAAGUUCAGUCAAAAACUAUAGCAAGUAGGCAACACAUCGACCAUUCAAGGUCGCAUAAAAUCAGAAAGGCUACAUAAUCAUUGAAUGUUUGCUUUUGUACGUAUAGUUGUGGAUGUGUCUUUGUAUCUUGUUUUGAAAUUGGAAGCUACACAGGAGUAUACCAUCACUUUAGGUUGAC